rnacentral:rRNA from 1 species
GACGAACGCUGGCGGCGUGCUUAACACAUGCAAGUCGAACGGUAAGGCCCUUCGGGGUACACGAGUGGCGAACGGGUGAGUAACACGUGGGUGAUCUGCCCUGCACUUCGGGAUAAGCCUGGGAAACUGGGUCUAAUACCGGAUAGGACUCCUGGCUUCAUGGUUGGGGGUGGAACGCUUUUGCGGUGUGGGAUGGGCCCGCGGCCUAUCAGCUUGUUGGGGGGGGAAUGGCCUACCAAGGCGACGACGGGUAGCCGGCCUGAGAGGGUGACCGGUCACACUGGGACUGAGAUACGGCCCAGACUCCUACGGGAGGCAGCAGUGGGGAAUAUUGCACAAUGGGCGCAAGCCUGAUGCAGCGACGCCGCGUGAGGGAUGACGGCCUUCGGGUUGUAAACCUCUUUCAGCUAUGACGAAGCGCAAGUGACGGUAGUAGCAGAAGAAGGACCGGCCAACUACGUGCCAGCCGCCGCGGUAA